UUAGUUCGGCUGUUACCCCGCACCCCUUCGUUAUCACAGCACAAGAGACCGGGUUGACAUGGGAGUCCCUCUGGAUUUCUGGCCUGUAACCGUUUGUAGAAUCCUGUUUAUUUUCUACCUUAACCUUGCCUGAUCUUUGUCUGUGGAGCAUCUUGGCUGUGCUUUAAAAAAAACCCUCAAGCUCUCCAUUGCUGAACAUGUUCUCUGCCAGGAAGUUGUCUGGAGUUUUCAGAACCAUCAGAUUCCAUCAUUUCAGAUCCCAUUCUGUGUCCAGAACCUCUCCAGACUUGACUUUCGUGCCAGCCUGUCUUCCCCCAGAUCCCCUGCAAGUAGAGGAGCUUCAGCGCUUUGUUUCUAACUCCAAGAGGCUGUUUGUAAUGACUGGAGCUGGAAUCUCGACCGAGUCAGGGAUCCCAGAUUACCGCUCCGAAGGGGUCGGGCUCUACGCCAGGACAGACAGACGGCCUGUCCAGCACGCCGAGUUUGUUCGCAGCGCCAGUGCCCGGCAGCGCUACUGGGCAAGGAACUUUGUGGGCUGGCCCCAGUUCUCCUCCCACCAGCCAAACACAGCGCACCUGGUACUGAGAGACUGGGAGAAGCUGGGGAAGCUGCACUGGCUGGUGACCCAGAACGUGGAUGCCCUCCACACCAAGGCCGGGAGCCAGCGCAUGACAGAACUGCACGGCUGCACACACAGGGUUUUCUGCUUGGCCUGUGGAGACCGAAUCUUGCGUUCUGAGCUCCAGGAGCACUUUGAAGCUCUGAAUCCUACUUGGAAGGCUGAGGCGUUUGGCGUGGCUCCAGAUGGGGAUGUCUUCCUGACGGAUGAGCAGGUGCGCAGUUUCCAAGUCCCAGCCUGCCGUAAGUGUGGUGGAAUCCUGAAGCCUGACGUGACAUUCUUUGGAGACACGGUGAGCCAGGAAAAAGUGAGUUUUGUACACCAGCGCCUGGCGGAAUCAGACUCCAUGCUGGUGGCAGGAUCCUCCAUGCAGGUAUACUCUGGUUACAGGUUUGCUCUUGCUGCCCGGGAGAAGAAGCUGCCAAUUGCAGUCCUUAACAUUGGGCCCACCAGGUUAGAUCACUUUGCAUCCCUGAAACUGAAUUCCCGCUGUGGGGAGCUGCUGCCUUUGAUUGUUGCACAGGACCCAACCAGCUGAGCUCCAGCAGCCAUCAGGAGUAAAGUUAUUUCUGCAAGGAAUCAUCAUCUCAGAAGGGGAAGAACCUCGAUCCAGGAGGCAGCAGUGAGCCCGGUACGUGGCCGCUGAGGACACCAGGAGAGGGCAGCAAGCCUCGCACGCCUCAGCCUUGCCAGUCGCCUCCAUUGAAACCAUCAGGAAACAGGAUGAUGAUGAAAAAAAACACUUCUCUGCCUUACCUUGCCGUGCUGUUCCUCCUGAGGUUUGGAUAGAGGAGCUGAGAGUACCUCAUAAUGGCUUUUUCUGCUGCUCCUCUGAAAGUGAGGUUGGAGUUACCCAAAGCAAAUAAAAGCCACUUCCUAUUUGGUAAAUCUUGUCUUUGUUUCUGGGCAAAUUCUCAGAGCAAACUGUAAUGCAGCCCAGCAGGCUGAGAGAGGUAUUUCACACACCGAGCUCCAGUGAGGGCAACACAGCCUGCAGAUGGCCUGGAGGGCUGGGUGGCUGUGGUGUAAGUGCAGCCUCCCACAUCUUACAGUCACAUUGCUCCUACCGACACACCUGCUUGUUCACGACUUCUGGAAAACAACCCAAACCCCUGGGCAUGGUGAACUUGGCAGGUUCAGGAACCUGGAGUGAAGGUGACUAAAUCUACCUUCUAGAGUGUGCUUCUUCCCCCAUGACUGGAUGUCACCCUUUCCCAGCCUUUGCAGCAGGAAGGUGAAAGACUGUUCCAGACACCCGCAAUUCUGUCCUCUCCCUUCCCACUAAGGAAAGGUACCCAAGUACCACCUUCUGCACCGCUGACUAGACAAUGGCAGAGAAGAAGAAAAGCUGAGCCUGAGAGGAAGAGCAACAGUACAAGUGUCCUGUAUUGGUCUCAGGCCCAAAUAGGAACUGAAACAGGAUCAUUACCAGAAGCAUUGUUGUUUGCUCUCUGCAUGUCUCACCUCAGCUGGAACACUUUCCCUUUCAUCUCUGCAAUGCCCAUAUAGUUAAGAGUAAUUCAGCCCUCCCUGCAGAGCCUGAAAAAUCUUGGCCUAGAAAACAACAAUAGAGAAAAGGGAGAUUAAAGGCUGAGAUUUCACUUCUGCAGUGUGAGCCCACAGAGCUGCUGUCCCUCCAGCAUCUCUCUGCCAGCUGCAGUGCUCUGUGGGGCCUCAGAGCUCCCCAGCUUGCUGAGCACAGGGAUACCUUGUGUUUCAGGUACUUUCUUUCUGGUUUGGAACAAAAUACAGGCUGUCACGGCAGAAGAUCUUCACACACACCUUGCACUCCCCAUACACCGGCAGUGAGUCAGUUCAGGCAAUCACUGGCCCUGCUCUUUCCACGACAUUCCUCAAAGCCCUAAUUAGCAGAACCCCUUCAGCCUCCCCACCUGUGCUGUUCAUUAGGGCCCGACACACUACAUUUUGUGGGAAGGUUCCCUAAGGAUGAAUUCCCUAUGUUUGAAUUUACUGUUAGGUCUUGCACACCACCAAAGCAGCAUGGAAAUGAGAAGCACGGUCAAGGGACUAAACCUAAGUGCAGGCUUAUAAAAUCUGUACAGAGUAGGAUGGAUAUAAAUUGAAAUGGAGCCUUCAUUUAUCCAUUGAGUUUAUCUAUGGAAUGCCCCAAGUGCUGGAUGCCAGGAGUAGAUACUGCUCACCUCAAUCUAGAC